AACGAACGCUGGCGGCAUGCCUAACACAUGCAAGUCGAACGAGACCUUCGGGCCUAGUGGCGCACGGGUGCUUAACGCGUGGGAACUUGCCCUUAGGUUCGGAAUAACUCCCCGAAAGGGGUGCUAAUACCGGUUAAGGUCUUCGGACCAAAGAUCUAUCGCCGUUGGAUGGGCCCGCGUUGGAUUAGCGAGUUGGUAGGGUAAAAGCCUACCAAGGCGACGAUCCAUAGCUGGUCUGAGAGGAUGAUCAGCCACACUGGGACUGAGACACGGCCCAGACUCCUACGGGAGGCAGCAGUGGGGAAUAUUGGACAAUGGGCGAAAGCCUGAUCCAGCAAUGCCGCGUGAGUGAUGAAGGCCUUAGGGUUGUAAAGCUCUUUUACCCGGGAUGAUAAUGACAGUACCGGGAGAAUAAGCACCGGCUAACUCCGUG
rnacentral:rRNA from 1 species